UCUGUCUUUGGAGGCAUUGCAGGUUUGGCCACUGUGUCACAUAUGCAUCAAUAGUAGGUGGCUGAGAGGAGAGAACCUAUGUCUAUGCUCAAUGUUCUGACCUAUGAACAUCUGAAAUAUUAGUGACAUAACAUU